UACGUAGGGUGCGAGCGUUAAUCGGAAUUACUGGGCGUAAAGCGUGCGCAGGCGGUUUUGUAAGCCAGAUGUGAAAUCCCUGGGCUCAACCUGGGAAUGGCAUUUGGGACUGCAAGGCUGGAGUACGGCAGAGGAGACUGGAAUUCCUGGUGUAGCAGUGAAAUGCGUAGAUAUCAGGAGGAAUACCGAUGGCGAAGGCAGGUCUCUGGGCUGAUACUGACGCUCAUGCACGAAAGCGUGGGGAGCAAACAGG
rnacentral:rRNA from 1 species